UAAUACAAAUCGUCAUAUAUACAUUAUAAACGAUUUAUACAUUGUAGAACUAAUUAUUUUAACCAACACCAAAAUGUAUCACCGCUUAACGUGGUUUGUUGCUUUGAUUAUUCUAUUGUUCGUUGGCUCAUCAAACAUAGCUUCCGCUCGGAUUCCGUACCAGUCCUCCAUGACAAGAAAAGAUGAAGGGGUUUGGGGAAAAAUGAUGAUCAGAGAAAUCAAGAUUGACGUUGGAGGAAGUAAUUCAAAACAAGCACGUCAAAAAAAUGGACCAGCACCUCCAGGCGCCAAGAUGUAGCGACAGUUGACCAUUGAUGGUAUAAUUUCUCGGACAAUGGACAAGUCAAUAUUGUUUCGAAUUCGGGCUUAACGAUUGUACCGUAUAUAUAUGGUUGCUUCCAAGUAUCGAUAUACUUAAAUAAUGGAUUCAUCUCAUUUGUUAAAUGAAUAAUAUGUUUAUGAGUUCAUUCUUUUAAAUAUUAAUAAAUCUCCCUCUUCACAUAUA